rnacentral:lncRNA from 1 species
CCACUGUGGGGGUUGGAUAAAGGGUGGUGUGACGGUCCUGCGGUGUAAAUUUGAAACUGUUUGGAAUAACUUGCAUCGGCCGGAAAAACCUUGAUGGGAGAUUCCAGAUCUUCUGGUAAUAUUCAAGGUAUGUAACCAUGGGGAAUGGGAAGAGGAGGUUGAAGGGAAUCGGCGGUGUUGACUUGGCGACCAACGGCAAAAGUUGCGUUUCCUGCUGGCGAGGGAUUCCGGCGAGGAUUAGGGUCUAC